rnacentral:rRNA from 1 species
AAAUUGAAGAGUUUGAUCAUGGCUCAGAUUGAACGCUGGCGGCAGGCCUAACACAUGCAAGUCGAACGGUAACAGGAAGCAGCUUGCUGUUUUGCUGACGAGUGGCGGACGGGUGAGUAAUGUCUGGGAAACUGCCUGAUGGAGGGGGAUAACUACUGGAAAUGGUAGCUAAUACCGCAUAACGUCGCAAGACCAAAGAGGGGGACCUUAGGGCCUCUUGCCAUCGGAUGUGCCCAGAUGGGAUUAGCUAGUAGGUGGGGUAA